AAGCGCUUGUGACCAGACUUGCGCCGGGCGGAUCAUCCGGUGUUCUCACCGGUGCACUCCGCCCGGCUCAGGCCAGCAUCGGUUCUCGUGGGGGGACAAAGGUCCCGGGAACGUAGCUCCUCCGGGAGUGUUAUAGCCCGGGGCGUAAUGCCCUCGCGGGGACCGAGGACCGCGCUUCGGCAAGGAUGCUGGCGUAAUGGUCAUCAGCGA
rnacentral:rRNA from 1 species